UUCAUUCUUUAGAGUAUCAAUUUGGAGGGCAAGUCUGGUGCCAGCAGCCGCGGUAAUUCCAGCUCCAAUAGCGUAUAUUAAAAUUGUUGCAGUUAAAAAGCUCGUAGUUGAAUUUCUGCUGCAUCGUCGCAUCUCUUGCUGAGUGCUUCGUUUCGGCUUAUUUCGGAUUGAUUUUUUCUUUCCGGAUGAUUACUUUGAGAAAAUUAGAGUGCUCAAAGCAGGCUUUUGCCUUGAAUAGUUUAGCAUGGAAUAAUAAAGUAGGACUUUGGUUCUAUUUUGUUGGUUUUAGGUACCAAAGUAAUGGUUAAUAGGAACAGUUGGGGGCAUUCGUAUUUAACUGUCAGAGGUGAAAUUCUUAGAUUUGUUAAAGACGAACUACUGCGAAAGCAUUUGCCAAGGAUGUUUUCAUUAAUCAAGAACGAAAGUUAGGGGAUCGAAGACGAUCAGAUACCGUCGUAGUCCUA
rnacentral:rRNA from 1 species